AUGAUGGGCUGAAUUUUGUCUCUAUCACUUCCAACGUGCUCAUGUGUGAAGAAAAGGUGUCAAACAACAGAAACUUCCAGAUUCUCUUGAUGCCAAGUCCAUCAGGAGGCGGCGGCGUUUCCCAUCAGGCACACUGCUCUGCUCCCGGUCCGGCUGCAGAACUGGCUGCAUGGACGGACGGAGCAGGAGGGAGUGAGGGAGGAGGAAGGGGAGUCCGGGUUCGGAGAGAAGUUUGGGUCUGGGGUUUCCUUCUGCGCUGUCGGGGCGCCGACAGGGACGAGGUUAAAAAAGCAGGCUGUGUUUUCGGUCUAAUCUCUUUACUUCUUGUUGCGGCUCGUAAUCCCUGCUGGGCCACGUGGCCCUUCGCUCUCAUCCUGUUAGUUACCUUCUGGACCCUCGUCUGGCUUUUCAGCUAACUCAGUGUUUUAAUUACAACUUCAGUCAUUUUAUGAAUCCGUAAAGUUUUCUUCAGUUUAUUUCAAUAAAAUGCUGCAUGGUUUGUCUACAGUUGAACAGUGCGGAUGAACCGUAAAGAGCAAGGAGCUUUAAAAACCCCUCUGUGUCGUUGAUCGUCAAGCCCGACUGUUCCAGUAAACCUGACCAGUUUCUGACCUCAAUCCUUCAGGAUUACAGUCGGAGUCACACAUCAGGUCUCCGCUAAGCUUCCAGUCCGCAGUUUGAAGGCGAGGUGCUGGAGAACACCUCCUGGAGGCAGAACACCUGAGCUCAGGGGAAAAUAAAGUCUGGAACAAGGAAAAAACAGCCAAAACUCCUGUUUCUGGUCAAAAAGUGCAGAUUAUCAUGUUCUCUGCCGACUUGUUUCACAUCAUCCCCUUGGAAAAGAUGAAUGCUCAGGAAAGACAGCAGGGGAACUACGGACGUGGGAAAGGAAAAGGAGAAGAGCAUGUUAAACAGACAUGAAAGGAAGAAGUGGAGAAACAAACUUGGAAGAAAGCUGCUGCAUAUGGCGGAGAAACAAACAGGAGAAGGAGGUCAGGUCAACCGACUGAACAUCAGGGAUGCUUUUCUGCUCCUGCUGGUAAUCCUCACCUGUUUCAGCAGCAUGAUGGAGGCAGCAUGAAAACCUCUGACACAUUUAAACUAAAGAGGCAUUCAUGAGAACAUGACUUAAAUUUAGAGACUGACCUGCCAAUCAAAUUAUGUAACACAGCAGCAUAGAUUUAUCUAAGAAUGCCAUAAAAUUGGCGAUUUGUGUUCCUGUUCCUGC